UUCUCGGUAGUACAGUGGUCAGUAUCGCCGCCGGUCACGCGGGAGACCGGGGACCGAUUCUCUGCCGGGGAA